AACGAACGCUGGCGGCGUGGAUAAGACAUGCAAGUCGAGCGCUGAUUUUCCCGGUAGCAAUAUUGGGAGAGUUGGAGCGGCGCAAGGGUGCGUAACACGUGGAUCAUCUGCCUGGAAGUUCGGAAUAAUUCCGCGAAAGCGGGACUAAUGCCGGAUGUGGUUGAAAACUAAAGCUGGGACCGCAAGGCCUGGCGCUUCCAGAUGAGUCCGCGGCCUAUCAGCUAG
rnacentral:rRNA from 1 species